AUCAGUUUUGUCGAUGUGAAAGGAGGACUAAGCACAAAGCCCUGGCUAAUGCCAUCACCAAAACCAAAGCAGAUGAACAGGCAUGGGUGCACUUCUAUCCAACUGUGGACCAACAGAAAGUUUUGUGAUAGCUGUGGCGAGCAUGGUCUGAAUGGAGAUCUGAUUGUUGUUUAUGAUGUUAGCAGAGACUCUGGACUGGGAGAAAU